AACGAACGCUGGCGGCAGGCCUAACACAUGCAAGUCGAACGGGACCUUCAGGUCUAGUGGCGGACGGGUGAGUAACGCGUGGGUACGUGCCCUUUGGUUCGGAAUAGCCUCGGGCAACUGGGAGUAAUACAGGAUAAGCCCUACGGAGGAAAGAUUUAUCGCCAAAGGAGCGGCCCGCGUUGGAUUAGGUCGUUGGGGAGGUAAUGGCUCCCCAAGCCGACGAGCCAUAGCGAGUUUGAGAGGAUGAUCAGCCACACUGGGACGGAGACACGGCCCAGGCUACUACGGGAGAGAGCGGUGGGGAAUCUUAGGCAAUGGGGGAAACCCUGAUCUAGCCAUGCCGCGUGAUCGAUGGAGGCGUUAAGGUUGUAAAGAUCUUUCAGUGGGGGCGAUAAUGACUGAACCCACAGAAGAAGCCCCGCCUAACUCCGUGCCAGCCGCCGCCGUAACAC
rnacentral:rRNA from 1 species